rfam:Oryctolagus cuniculus chromosome X, whole genome shotgun sequence.
UGGGGCAUGAACCUGGCAUACAAUGUAGAUUUCUGUGUUUUUUGGGCAACAGCUACAUUGUCUGCUGGGUUUCAGGCUACCUGG